GCCUUCGUGGUGUAAUGGUCAGCACACUGAGCCGGUAAUUCAGAGGCCCGUGGUUCGAUCCCCGGCGAAGGCA
rnacentral:tRNA from 1 species